UAAAAAGCUCGUAGUUGGAUUUUUAAGGGCGGCUUUCACUAGGGACCUUUCGUGUCUCUAAUGUGGCAGACGCUUCUUAUUUUGCCUCAGAGCCUGGUUGGGGUUCAUUUCUUGAUCAAGCUUCCGGGGCGUGUUUACUUUGAGAAAAUUAGAGUGUUCAAAACAGUCUUGUGAUUGUAUAUCAUAGCAUGGAAUAAUAACUGAUGACCUCGGUCAUUUUUUGUUGGUUCGGAUGGCUGAAGUAAUGAUUGAUAGUAGUUAGUCGGAGGUAUUAGUAUUUUGUCGUUAGAGGUGAAAUUCAGGAAUCGGCAAAAGACUAACAACUGCGAAAGCAUUUAUCUAGGAUUUGCUCUUUGAUCAAGAACGAAAGUUGGGGGAUCGAAGACGAUCAGAUACCGUCGUAGUCUCAACUAUAAACUAUACCAGCUAGGGAUUGGCAAGCGUUGCUUGACCUUGUCAGAACCUUAUGAGAAAUCAAAGCAUUUGGGUUCCGGGGGGAGUAUGGUCGCAAGGCUGAAACUUAAAGGAAUUGACGGAAGGGCACCACCAGGAGUGGAGCCUGCCGCUUAAUUUGACUCAGCACGGGGGAAACUUACCAGGUCCAGACAUAGUAAGGAUUGACAGAUUGAGAGCUCUUUCAUGAUUCUAUGGGUGGUGGUGCAAGGCCGGUCUUAGUUGGUGGAGUGAUUUGCCUGGCUAAUUCCGUUAACGAA
rnacentral:rRNA from 1 species